UCACGUCCGGCGCGGAGACGGCGGCGUCUCCGUACGGUCGGCGGGGCACGCAUAGCCGGGCAGUUGGUUCGUGGGCUGUGGAGGCGACGGAGCCAGGGGCUGGUGGGGCCGGCUCGGGGAGGACCUGCCUGGGGGCUUUCUCUUGCAUACCCUCGCUUGGGCUGGCCAGGGUGUCACUUCUGCCUCCCUGCCCUCCAGACCAUGGACGGCUCCUUCGUCCAACACAGUGUGAGGGUUCUGCAGGAGCUCAACAAGCAGCGGGAGAAGGGCCAGUACUGCGACGCCACUCUGGACGUGGGGGGCCUGGUGUUUAAGGCGCACUGGAGCGUCCUUGCCUGCUGCAGCCACUUCUUCCAGAGCCUCUACGGGGAUGGUUCAGGAGGUAGUGUCGUCCUCCCUGCUGGCUUCGCUGAGAUCUUUGGCCUCUUGUUGGACUUUUUCUACACUGGUCACCUCGCUCUCACCUCAGGGAACCGGGAUCAGGUGCUCCUGGCAGCCAGGGAGUUGCGAGUGCCCGAGGCCGUAGAGCUGUGCCAGAGCUUCAAGCCCAAAACUUCAGUGGGACAGGCAGCAGGUGGCCAGAGUGGGCUGGGGCCCCCUGCCUCCCAGAAUGUGAACAGCCUCGUCAAGGAGCCGGCAGGCUUGCAAGAAGAGGAAGUUUCGAGGACUCUGGGUCUAGUCCCCAGAGAUCAGGAGCCCAGAGGCAGUCAUAGUCCUCACAGGCCCCAGCUCCAUUCCCCAGCUCAGAGAGAGAGCCCCUCCUCCCUCUGUGGGAAACUCAAGCAGACCUUGAAGCCUUGUUCCCCCGAGGACAAGGAACCUGAGGACUGCAAAGUGCCCCCAAGGCCCUUCGAGGCUGAAGGUGGCCAGCUGCAGGGCGGGAGUAAUGAGUGGGAAGUGGUGGUUCAAGUGGAGGACGACGGGGAUGGUGAUUACAUGUCUGAGCCUGAAACUGUGCUGACCCGGAGGAAGUCAGAUGUAAUCCGAAAGCCCUGUGCAGCUGAGCCAGCCCUGAGCGCGGCGGGCUCCCUAGCAGCUGAGCCUGCUGAGAACAGAAAAGGUACAGCGGUGCCGGUCGAAUGCCCCACAUGUCAUAAAAAGUUUCUCAGCAAAUAUUAUCUAAAAGUCCACAACAGGAAACAUACUGGGGAGAAACCCUUUGAGUGUCCCAAGUGUGGGAAGUGUUACUUUCGGAAGGAGAACCUCCUGGAGCAUGAAGCCCGGAAUUGCAUGAACCGCUCGGAACAGACUCUUCCCAGCAGCAAGCGGAAGCCCGGGCAGAGGCUGCUGUCACAGGCAGAGGCCCCCGCUGAUGCCGGCCCUGCUUGCCCCUCACACUGCCAGGUCUUCACGUGCUCCGUGUGCCAGGAGACAUUCCGCCGGAGGAUGGAGCUGCGGGUGCACAUGGUGUCUCACACGGGGGAGAUGCCCUACAAGUGUUCCUCCUGCUCCCAGCAGUUCAUGCAGAAGAAGGACUUGCAGAGCCACAUGAUCAAGCUGCAUGGAGCCCCAAAGCCCCAUGCAUGCCCCACCUGUGCCAAGUGCUUCCUGUCUCGGACAGAGCUGCAGCUGCAUGAAGCUUUCAAGCACCGUGGUGAGAAGCUGUUUGUGUGUGAGGAGUGUGGGCACCGGGCCUCCAGCCGGAAUGGCCUGCAGAUGCACAUCAAGGCCAAGCACAGGAAUGAGAGGCCACACGUGUGUGAGUUCUGCAGCCACGCCUUCACCCAAAAGGCCAAUCUCAACAUGCACCUGCGCACACACACGGGCGAGAAGCCCUUCCAGUGCCACCUCUGUGGCAAGACCUUCCGAACCCAAGGUGAGCCAGCCUGGACAAGCACAACCGCACUCACACCGGGGAAAGGCCCUUCAGUUGCGAGUUCUGUGAACAGCGCUUCACUGAGAAGGGGCCCCUCCUGAGGCACGUGGCCAGCCGCCAUCAGGAGGGCCGGCCCCACUUCUGCCAGAUCUGCGGCAAGACCUUCAAAGCCGUGGAGCAACUGCGUGUGCAUGUCAGACGACAUAAGGGGGUGAGGAAGUUCGAGUGCACCGAGUGCGGCUACAAGUUUACCCGGCAGGCCCACCUGCGGAGGCACAUGGAGAUCCACGACCGGGUGGAGAACUACAACCCGCGGCAGCGCAAGCUCCGCAACCUGAUCAUCGAGGACGAGAAGAUGGUGGUGGUGGCGCUGCAGCCGCCUGCGGAGCUGGAGGUGGGCUCAGCGGAGGUCAUUGUGGAGUCCCUGGCCCAGGGCGGCCUGGCCUCCCAGCUCCCAGGCCAGAGACUGUGUGCAGAGGAGAGCUUCACCAGCCCAGCUGUCCUGGAGCCCUCCCUCAUCAUCACAGCUGCUGUCCCUGAGGACUGUGACACAUAGCCCACUUUGGCCGCCAGAGCCCACUUGGCCCCACCCAAUAAACCAUGUGGCUUUGGACUCACGUA